rfam:Bifidobacterium asteroides PRL2011, complete genome.
AAUCACUGAAGAGGUCGCCGAACCUAUCAGUAACCGGGAUCAGACAGUACGGUGUCGCGUAUUCCCGGCGAAAGGAAGUUCGGCCGAAACGGCACGGAUCCGCCCAUCCGUCCCGUUGGGCCCGGGUCGAACAGGUCCGGGACUGUCGCAACCCCAUGUUGCGGAGCGCUAUGUGCAGU